UACGAAGGGGGCUAGCGUUGCUCGGAAUUACUGGGCGUAAAGGGUGCGUAGGCGGGUCUUUAAGUCAGGGGGGAAAUCCUGGAGCUCAACUCCAGAACUGCCUUUGAUACUGAAGAUCUUGAGUUCGGGAGAGGUGAGUGGAACUGCGAGUGUAGAGGUGAAAUUCGUAGAUAUUCGCAAGAACACCAGUGGCGAAGGCGGCUCACUGGCCCGAUACUGACGCUGAUGCACGAAAGCGUGGGGAGCAAACAGG
rnacentral:rRNA from 1 species